UUUAUCUCUUUCUUCUAAACAGGUAAUGUGGCACUUGAAAAUUUACAGAUAAAGGAGAAUGCAUUAAGUGAACUGGAUGUACCUUUUAGAGUAAAAGUUGGUCAGAUAGAUAAACUUACUCUGAAGAUUCCUUGGAAGAAUCUCUAUGGGGAGGCAGUUGUUGCAACUCUAGAAGGCUUGUAUCUUCUGAUAGUUCCUGGAGCAAGUA